rnacentral:rRNA from 1 species
UACAGAGGGUGCAAGCGUUGUUCGGAAUUAUUGGGCGUAAAGGGAGUGUAGGCGGUUUGAAAAGUCUUCUGUGAAAUCUACGGGCUUACCCUGUAACGUGCAGAGGAAACUGUCAGGCUUGAGUAUCGGAGAGGACAGGGGAAUACCCAGUGUAGAGGUGAAAUUCGUAGAUAUUAGGAAGAACACCGGUGGCGAAGGCGGCCCACUGGAUCGGUACUGACGCUGAGGUGCGAAAGCGUGGGGAGCAAACAGG